rnacentral:lncRNA from 1 species
AGCAACAGUAGCCAUACUGGUGUGUACGUUUACUGUUCGUGGAAAAAAACCAAAAAAAGUGAUUGGUUAUCGUCGCAUGCCGUGCGAGGCGUCGUGUUCACCGGUCGCCAGUAGGAGGACAGGUAAUCUAGACUUUUGCCUGAAACUUUUUAUUAUGCUGUGUAUUGUUUUGUAAAUUACAGAUAAAUCGCACAUGUAACAGAUGUGCAAUUUAUGGAGUUUAAAAUACUAUAUAUAAACAAAGGAGUAUAUUCGUGCAUAACAGCCUCGCUAAGAAUCAGGUUGGACUGUUUGUUUUUUGGUUAGUGCAUCACUACAAUAGGUAAGCAUACAUUUUAAAAGAAAACAGAAGUCCACGAUUUUAUAUUUUUAAAUGGGUCCAGAGACCAUCUUGGUAUAGAGAGGGGCAUACAUAUGUUUCCUAAACACUUUAGUAAUUACUGUUGUAUUAGAGAUAGCAAUGUCAACAUUAAAAAAUAUGUAUUCGUAUCUGAUUGUUGUUCUAAGAAUGUAUAUAAUCCUCAGAUUUCAUUGUUAAACAACUGUUGUAAUAGGAUGUUGGCUAAUAUAAAUUUAUUACAAAUUAUGAAGAUAUCAUCAACAUAUCCUAAGAAUAAUUUAAACUAUUUUUUAGAGAAGUCAAGAUAGAUUUUUCGUUGUACCUGAUAACUAAUUCAGCCAUGAUACCUGCCAUUGGCCCCCUAUAGGUACACCAAUUAGCUGUUUAUAAAAAUUAUCACUAUAUCUAAAAUAGGAGUUAUGGGCUAUAAGAUGGCAAAGAUCACAUAUUACCUGUGGGGGAACUUUCAUGUCUUUGAUAUUCUUGAGGAGAAAUCUAUACAACAACAAACAUGCAGGGGGGUAUAUUUGUCAAUGGAUAUAGCUGCAAAUAAUCUGCCACAAUCAUACUAUCAUUAUGAGAACAACAUUAACAUUGAUUGACAGAAUGCCAAAAUGGUAUGAUCAUGUAAUGAUAUAUCACAAAUUAGAUAUGCUGAGGCUAUGAUCGUGGAACAGUAUUGAACUAACUUGUGUCAUAUUA